rnacentral:rRNA from 1 species
AUUGAACGCUGGCGGCAGGCCUAACACAUGCAAGUCGAGCGGAUGAAGGGAGCUUGCGCCUGGAUUCAGCGGCGGACGGGUGAGUAAUGCCUAGGAAUCUGCCUGGUAGUGGGGGAUAACGUCCGGAAACGGGCGCUAAUACCGCAUACGUCCUGAGGGAGAAAGUGGGGGAUCUUCGGACCUCACGCUAUCAGAUGAGCCUAGGUCGGAUUAGCUAGUUGGUGGGGUAAAGGCCUACCAAGGCGACGAUCCGUAACUGGUCUGUGAGGAUGAUCAGUCACACUGGAACUGAGACACGGUCCAGACUCCUACGGGAGGCAGCAGUGGGGAAUAUUGGACAAUGGGCGAAAGCCUGAUCCAGCCAUGCCGCGUGUGUGAAGAAGGUCUUCGGAUUGUAAAGCACUUUAAGUUGGGAGGAAGGGCAGUAAGUUAAUACCUUGCUGUUUUGACGUUACCAACAGAAUAAGCACCGGCUAACUUCGUG